AGCGAACGCUGGCGGCAGGCCUAACACAUGCAAGUCGAACGAACUCUUCGGAGUUAGUGGCGGACGGGUGAGUAACACGUGGGAACGUGCCUUUUGGUUCGGAAUAACUCAGGGAAACUUGUGCUAAUACCGAAUGUGCCCUUCGGGGGAAAGAUUUAUCGCCAUUAGAGCGGCCCGCGUCUGAUUAGCUAGUUGGUGAGGUAACGGCUCACCGAGGCGACGAUCAGUAGCUGGUCUGAGAGGAUGACCAGCCACACUGGGACUGAGACACGGCCCAGACUCCUACGGGAGGCAGCAGUGGGGAAUCUUGCGCAAUGGGCGAAAGCCUGACGCAGCCAUGCCGCGUGAAUGAUGAAGGUCUUAGGAUUGUAAAAUUCUUUCACCGGGGACGAUAAUGACGGUACCCGGAGAAGAAACCCCGGCUAACUUCGU
rnacentral:rRNA from 1 species